rnacentral:lncRNA from 1 species
AUUGUGUUCAUCCUGGAUAUGUACAAACAGACAUUACGUGUAACACAGGACCCUUGACCCCUGAGGAAGGUGCUAGAGCUCCGGUAAUGGUGGCUUUGUUGCCUGAUGGUGCUCCUUCUGGCCUCUACUUUUAUGAGAUGCAAGCAUCCAGUUUUUAAUACAUGUAUAAAUAUAUGCAUAAAUAACAAGGGAAACACCACAUAUAAGAAGGUAUCCAACUUACAUUGAUGUACUUUUAAGAAAUGUGUUGCUUUCUCAUCUUGUAAGAACUUGUAACAUUUGAAAGUUCCAUUGUAUUGAAUAAAUUAUAUGGAUUCCCUUGCAACUUGUCAGGAAAAAUCGUAAAAGAUCCAACUCAUUGACAGCUGCAAUUAAGGGUACAUUUCUAUGUUCACAUGUUGGUGUUAGAUAAUAACAACACAACAAAAAAAAUAAUAGCAAAGAGAAAUUAAAAUAAAAAUAAUCACAUUGACACAAAAUUUAUGUGGUUAACCCAAACAUUACAGUCGGUGUAGAAUAAGCAAUAGGGUAUACUGAGUUAUAACCAUAUGUGGGUAUUGCGUAUAGGUCGACCCUAAUUUUCUAUUAUGUUUUUUGCAUUGGUAGUGUUUAUGCAAGACACACCUUCCGAUUUAUACAUGCAUUUAGAUUCGCUGUCCGAUGUGUGAUUUGCAUGUGUGACAUUAUUUUGACUUGUCUGUGUGACAAGGUUCUAUUUUGUUUUGAGCUCGGUAUGAAAUAACCAUUUAGCCACAUUGAUUCAAUAUUUUGUUUGUUUUGUUAAUUAUGUUGAUUCAGAUAUAUUCAAAUUUUGAAUAUUAUAUUAUUGGCGUUAUUUAUGUUUGAGACUUUGCUCAAUAUUUUGUCAGUUGAUUUCGUUUUUAAGUUGCGCAUCUUUUGUAUAUCUUUAUUUGUAUUGGACAAUUUGUUCAUGCUGUAUUAUUUUUUCGACAUGUUUGCAGAGGAGAUUUAGGGUUUUGUGUGAAGAGAACUACAUGUGACCAUCUAGGUUUAUUUAAUUUUAGAUUUUGAUUAUUCUGCCAAUUUUUAAAGAAUUGUAUUUAGCAAAAAUCACUUUUACCCCAAUGUGGUUGUAGUGUUUUAAGCAAUUGCCACUGUAUUUUUAAAAUAUUCAAUUAGCUCACUGUACUUUUUAAAAAUAUUCAAUCAACCCAUUUCGUCCAAUUUGAGUAACCGACGUUAACAAAUCAGCUUGGAUUGCUUAUGUGGCUUUUUAAAAAAAAUAAAUAAUUAAAAUAAAUAUUUUAAUUCAUUUUUAAUAACUUUUUCAUUUCCUAUUUUCUUUCUCCUUCAAAAUGAAUAAAUAAGCCUAAAUAAAAUAAUAAAUAAAAAUAUAAUUUUGCUAAGUAUAAGACCAAUUUUUUUAAAAAAAAAAUUUAGACAAAAAAGAAAUAAUGCAAAUUACACACAUAAAUAAAACAUUAGUUAUCCUCAUUUUUUCCUAAUUAAUUCAAACUCAAACCCCCCUACUUACUGUUCAUCUUCUUCCUCACCAAACUGGAAUUCGUUGACCCACCACCACCAAUCGCCUACCCAAAGCCAUAGAAUCCGGUCAGAACAAUCCAGAAUUAAACUGGUGAUUGACGAACCCAUAGCAUCAGAAAUCCAAUACCCAACACCAGAUCAAAAUAAAAAACAGCCGAUUAACCAAACAAUUUCAUAUUAAAUCCACAACAAAUUUGAGGGAGGGGAAGGAGGAGAUGUCAUUUUUUCCUCUCCUUUCUCUACCACUGGUGAAAUAAGAAUUUUGUAGAAGAGGCAAGAAUGAGCAAUUUCAGAUUUGUGUGUCGUAUGAUCGAGCAAUAUAUCUCUAUAAUUCAUCCAGAUUAGAGAUUUAGAUAGAUACUUAACAAGAAAUUUGGGAUUCAACGAGAGAGGUAGAGGGGCUACGGAGAGAGCACUCAUCUAUGGUCUGUGAUGGUGAAGAUAAGGAUACAUCGCUGAUGAGACAAGAGAG